AACGAACGCUGGCGGCAGGCUUAACACAUGCAAGUCGAACGAACGUAGCAAUACGUUAGUGGCAGACGGGUGAGUAACGCGUGGGAACGUGCCCUUUAGUUCGGAAUAACACAGAGAAAUUUGUGCUAAUACCGGAUAAGCCCGAGAGGGGAAAGAUUUAUCGCUGAAGGAGCGGCCCGCGUCUGAUUAGCUAGUUGGUGAGGUAAUGGCUCACCAAGGCGACGAUCAGUAGCUGGUCUGAGAGGAUGAUCAGCCACACUGGGACUGAGACACGGCCCAGACUCCUACGGGAGGCAGCAGUGGGGAAUUUUGGACAAUGGGCGAAAGCCUGAUCCAGCCAUUCCGCGUGCAGGAUGAAGGCCCUCGGGUUGUAAACUGCUUUUGUACAGAACGAAAAGACUCCGGCUAAUACCUGGAGUCCAUGACGGUACUGUAAGAAUAAGCACCGGCUAACUACGUGCCAGCAGCCGCGGUAAUUCUCG
rnacentral:rRNA from 1 species